GUCCUGGUGGUGAAUGGUUCACACCCACUCUGCUUUGGAAGGGAACCAUUGUCAGGUGGGAGUCCCCGGUUCGAUUCCGGGCCAGGUCA